GCCUAACUAAUAGAAUGCAUUUGAAACUGUUUAACUUGAGUACAGGAGAGGAGAGUGGAAUUUCCGGUGGAGCGGUGAAAUGUGUAGAUAUCGGAAGGAACACCAGUGGCGAAAGCGGCUCUCUGGCUUGAUACUGACACUGAGGCGCGAAAGCUGGGGGAGCAAACGGGAUUAGAUACCCCGGUAGUCCCAGCCGUAAACGAUGGGCACUAGGUGUGAGAGGUGUCAAAUCCUCUCGUGCCGCAGCUAACGCAUUAAGUGCCCCGCCUGAGGAGUACGACCGCAAGGUUGAAACUCAAAGGAAUUGACGGGGGCCCGCACAAGCGGUGGAGCAUGUGGUUCAAUUCGACGCAACGCGAAGAACCUUACCGGGGUUUGACAUUAUACCUGCAAUGGUAUGGAAACAUAUUACCUCCGCAAGGACAGGUAUAACAGGUGCUGCAUGGCUGUCGUCAGCUCGUGUCGUGAGAUGUUGGGUUAAGUCCCGCAACGGGCGCAACCCUCGUCUUUAAUUGCCAUCGGG
rnacentral:rRNA from 1 species